AUGAACGCUGGCGGCGUGCCUAAUACAUGCCAGUCGAGCGAACGGACGAGAAGCUUGCUUCUCUGAUGUUAGCGGCGGACGGGUGAGUAACACGUGGAUAACCUACCUAUAAGACUGGGAUAACUUCGGGAAACCGGAGCUAAUACCGGAUGAUAUUUUGAACCGCAUGGUUCAAAAGUGAAAGACGGUCUUGCUGUCACUUAUAGAUGGAUCCGCGCUGCAUUAGCUAGUUGGUAAGGUAACGGCCUACCAAGGCAACGAUGCAUAGCCGACCUGAGAGGGUGAUCGGCCACACUGGAACUGAGACACGGUCCAGACUCCUACGGGAGGCAGCAGUAGGGAAUCUUCCGCAAUGGGCGAAAGCCUGACGGAGCAACGCCGCGUGAGUGAUGAAGGUCUUCGGAUCGUAAAACUCUGUUAUUAGGGAAGAACAUAUGUGUAAGUAACUGUGCACAUCUUGACGGUACCUAAUCAGAAAGCCACGGCUAACUACGUG
rnacentral:rRNA from 1 species